rnacentral:misc_RNA from 1 species
ACAAACUUGGUUAUUUAGAGGAAGUAAAAGUCGUAACAAGGUUUCCGUAGGUGAACCUGCGGAAGGAUCAUUAAAGAUUUAGUAAUCCUACUCACCUCGUGUGCAGCCUUUACAAGUCUGAUAUCCUUGGAGGUCAUCAUUAGUGAGCUCUCCAAGGAGGUUAUCACGAUCAAUGUAUCUUUUCUUACUAUUCCAUGUCUGGAUCAAUAAAUGUAAUUAAACAACUUUCAACAACGGAUCUCUUGGCUCUCGCAUCGAUGAAGAACGCAGC